GUAUUUUGAAUUAAGUAUUCAUAAUAUUUUUCAGACAAAUUAGUUAAAGAAUGAGUUGAUGUAUAAAAACCUCGCCAAGAUUGACGAGAUCUAACAUUGCACACAAGGUGGAUAUGGAUUUUUAAAGAGUGCCAUAAAACACUCAUUGUGAAUGAUCCUUCCGCAGGUUCACCUACGGAAA
rnacentral:misc_RNA from 1 species